rnacentral:rRNA from 1 species
AGCAGCCGCGGUAAUUCCAGCUCCAAUAGCGUAUAUUAAAGUUGUUGCAGUUAAAAAGCUCGUAGUUGAAUUUCGGGAUCAGUGGGUCGGUCGUGCCACUGGUAUGUACUGGCCCUACUGGUUCCUCCUUCUUGAAGAACUGUAAUGCCAUUAAUUUGGUGUUGCAGGGAAACAGGACUGUUACUUUGAAAAAAUUAGAGUGUUUAAAGCAGGCAAUCGCUUGAAUACAUUAGCAUGGAAUAAUGAAAUAGGACGUUCGAUCCUAUUUUGUUGGUUUCUAGGAUUGACGUAAUGAUUAAUAGGGAUAGUUGGGGGCAUUAGUAUUCAAUUGUCAGAGGUGAAAUUCUUGGAUUUAUUGAAGACUAACUACUGCGAAAGCAUUUGCCAAGGAUGUUUUCAUUAAUCAAGAACGAAAGUUAGGGGAUCGAAGACGAUCAGAUACCGUCGUAGUCUUAACCAUAAACUAUGCCGACUAGGGAUCGGAUGAUGUUAAUUUUUAAUGACUCAUUCGGCGCCUUAA